rnacentral:rRNA from 1 species
AGCCCUUGACAUGUCCCGUAUGGAUUCCAGAGACGGAGUCCUUCAGUUCGGCUGGCGGGAACACAGGUGCUGCAUGGCUGUCGUCAGCUCGUGUCGUNAGAUGUUGGGUUAAGUCCCGCAACGAGCGCAACCCUCGGCCUUAGUUGCCAUCAUUCAGUUGGGCACUCUAAGGCGACUGCCGGUGAUAAGCCGGAGGAAGGUGGGGAUGACGUCAAGUCCUCAUGGCCCUUACGGG